rnacentral:rRNA from 1 species
UACGUAGGGGGCGAGCGUUGUCCGGAAUUAUUGGGCGUAAAGAGCGUGUAGGCGGUUCGGUAGGUCUGCCGUGAAAACCUGGGGCUCAACCCUGGGCGUGCGGUGGAUACUGCCGGGCUAGAGGGUGGUAGAGGCGAGUGGAAUUCCCGGUGUAGCGGUGAAAUGCGCAGAUAUCGGGAGGAACACCAGUAGCGAAGGCGGCUCGCUGGGCCAUUCCUGACGCUGAGACGCGAAAGCUAGGGGAGCGAACAGG